AGGGAAAAACUGACAAACACGGACAAAUGAAGUGAUCGAAAGAGGCACAGCUCUACCUUCGUUUCUUAUUACAAUUUUAUUUUUGGUUGUUCGUUUUCGAUUCCACUCCCGCCUUCGGUCUUCAUCUUUACGGUUCUGUUUUUGUGUUGGGGAAGAUGUUUGCAGCUCCCUCUCUCUGCUUAAGACUGGCGCAGGGUGAUUCUGUGGUAAGAGUUGUAUUUGCUUCGACAUGGAUUUUGGGUUCUAUUUGUAUUAUAUUGCGCUGUUACCGUUACUAAAGUUUAAGUUUGGGGGCGUGGUGUUUCUGCACCAUGGUUGGAGCUGAAGAAUGCAGAGACCUACAACGGACAUUUGGUAGAUUGGGACACUUGGAUGAACAUUCAUCUGUGUGAAGUCAUCUGUACCUCAAAAAUACGAAACUGGAGACCAUGUUGGUGUUUUUGCUGAGAAUUGUGAUGAAACCAUUGAGGAAGCGGGAAAAUUGUUGGGUCAGCCUUUGGAUUUGCUGUUUUCAAUCCACCUGGACAAUGAAGAUGGCACACCCCUGCAAAGCUCGUUACCACCUCCUUUCCCUGGUCCAUGCACAUUAUGUAAUGCCCUAGCAUGUUAUGCAGAUCUCUUGAAUCCUCCUAGAAAGGCUAGUUUGGUUGCUUUGGCUGCCCAUGCAUCUGAACCCUGUGAAGCAGAAAGACUAAAAUUUUUGUCAUCUCCAGAUGGAAAGGAUGAGUAUGCACAGUGGGUUGUUGGGAGCCAGAGAAGUCUCCUAGAAGUAAUGGCUGAAUUUCCAUCAGCAAGACCUCCGCUGGGCCUUUUUUUUGUCAAAUUUGGUGGUGUAACUCUUCAUCAUAUGGCCCAUUUGUAUUGAAUUGUUCAUUGUGUGUUUUCAACCAGCAACCUAUUCUGUCCAUAUCUUUGACUUUUAGCUAAUAAACUUUGUCCCUCUUGUUGUGUAAAAUUUGGAUUUGGCUGAAAACUUACACGAAUGGGUUUAAUAAUGCAAAAAAUUGAAAUUGUACAAAUGUAUGUAUUACAAUAACAUAUAACAUUCGUGCAUUAAAUAAGCAUUUCAGAACUCCGGGAUGAUGUAUUUUAGCCAAAUCAGAUGGUGUGCUCCUGGAGGCAGUUUCCAGUCGGCCUUAACGAGUGGCUUUUGGUAGAGGCACCCAUGGGAUCUUUGCCAAGCUCUUGAUUGAGUAUAGAUGGGAAGCUUCUGGUGAAGCACACGUGUGCUGAUAAACUUGAGAUUGGUUGCUUGCUGACCGGACAUCAUAUUCUAUGGUUUACAGUUCAGCCAUUCUCAACCAGUUUUAACCUAUUUGAUGUGCUUCAAUUCUUCUUGCUUACCAGUUGGUUGAUAGUUUUACCUUUUAUUCAUUUUCUGUAGGGAAAAAACGUGACUCAUUUCCAUGCAAUGUGCUUUGUUCUGCUAAAACAUCAUCUACAAGGGCAAAGUUUUGAAUUAAGGAUUCCUUUAUCAUUCAUUAGCCUGGAUAUCUUGCAAACUAUUCUCACUUCUGAGAUGCCUCUUAAUGGUUGCAAUCAGGAGAUUUUGUGCCUCUCAUGAUUAGAACAGGCGACCUUAUUUCUAUUUUGUCAGCAUUAAUGUACCAUUUGAGCUUGCAUUUCAUUGCUCUUCUUGUUCAAGGGGCAGGCUUUUCAUCUGAUGCCAUGGUGGUUCAAUUCAAUACUAAUAUGCAAUUGAUUCUGUCCCAAACUAUUCAAUAAUUUGAUAUGGCUUUUCCCCUUGUUUCUUUGGUGAUCUCUGUUCUUCAGACAAAAUUUAUUUGUCAAGUAGUUUCAGGGCAGUACACUGACAUGUGGUGAAGUCAGAUUGUCAUGAUAAUUAAACCAUGAUUAGAUGAAGAUGUGGACAACAGAUAUUUUAUGUGGCAAAUAAACUGACAUAACUAGAAGGGCUUUUGAUUGUAUCACAGCCGAAUCUGCCCUCCAGAAUUUGAGAAGGCAGGAAAAAGAAUUAUCGGCCUUUACUCAAGGAGGAAAAAUGAUAAAUGUUAAAUCUUCUUCCUUGCUCUAUAAUAUAGUGAUGAUAAAUGUGUGUAAUCCCUUGUUGCUUUGUAGUGAUGAAUGAUAUAUUUCAGUCAGUGUUUCCUUAUUGCUUUAUUGUAUGGUAUAAACAUGAGCCCUUCUGUUGCUUGAUAAUGUGGUUAAACAUGUAAUCCACCUGGUUUUUUUCUUAUCAUUGAUUUAAUGUAUAUGAUGUAACAACUUUCAAAUACGUACUGGCUUAGCAUAAUUUUAUCUUGAAAAUAUUAUAGGGGUUAUACAUAUAUUUUGUACUGAAUAUUCUCUAUUUACUUCUUUUUUUUUCAUUCAAACUCUUUGGUGACUGACUCCCUUCGCCAAUAUAAAAAUGCUGGUUUACUUUCCAGGGUAUUGGUAAUGUUCAGGAAGAAUCCUAAAGCCGUUCAGAUAGAAAGCCCCUGGAGUAGGCCGUUGAAGGGGAAGAGGGUGGAAGCCAGAUGAAGAAUGGCAAAAGGCAUGGGGCGUGGCCAAGAUGAUGGAGGUGCUAAAGGCAGGGGUAGGGAUGGACAGGGUGGCAGUGGCAGAGUUUGAAGUCGCACUAUGAAAUAUAAAGGAUGAGAAAUCUGCAGACAGUUGGCCUUGCUAGCAGGAACUGUCUGAUUUAAAGGUGAGAUUGCUCCUAUACACAGACACCAACCUACUGCCUCUAUAUUCUGAAUAUAUGCAUCUGUUGAGGGGGUGUUAUCUUCACCUUGGGGUUGUGCCAUGCAAAUGAAGAGUGCGCAUAUGGAUCGUUUUGGACUGUGGCCCAAGAGUUCAUGGCUGUGUUUGGUAUGCAUUCUUGGAAUGCAUUCUGGAUCAAGAACAGAUUCUGGACUGUUAAAAACAUUGCUUGGUAAACAUUCCAUUCUCAAAGUUCUAGAACACAGUCAAGAAUGCAGCCCAUUCUGAAAUGGAAUAUUUUCUCAUUCUGCAUUCUCCAUUCUCCAGCUCUUGCCGCAGCCCCGAUGAAAAUAGCUCCGCUAUUAAUCUUAUGAAAGGCACCUCUCCCAAGGAAUAGCGUCUCAUUCUUACAAUUCUCCAAUACUUAUCUUUCUCUCUUUCUAAAAACUGCUUCUCUCGCCCCAAAUCUUUCUCUUUUUCUCCUUAAGAUCUCCUCUCGAAUCCAAAAUCCUAGAAUGUUUUGUUUGCCUCGCAAUCUUUACGGGUUUGAUGUAAGCAAUACUAUCUAAGGAACCAAUCAAACUUUUAUAUUUUUAUUUGUGAAUUAUUGAUGUAAUAUUAUUUGGGAUUUUCACCAAAGAGAUUCCAGCCAUGAGGUGUUUGAUAAAA